rnacentral:rRNA from 1 species
AUUGAACGCCGGCGGCAGGCCUAACACAUGCAAGUCGAGCGGAUGAAGGGAGCUUGCUCCUGGAUUCAGCGGCGGACGGGUGAGUAAUGCCUAGGAAUCUGCCUGGUAGUGGGGGAUAACGUCCGGAAACGGGCGCUAAUACCGCAUACGUCCUGAGGGAGAAAGUGGGGGAUCUUCGGACCUCACGCUAUCAGAUGAGCCUAGGUCGGAUUAGCUAGUUGGUGGGGUAAAGGCCUACCAAGGCGACGAUCCGUAACUGGUCUGAGAGGAUGAUCAGUCACACUGGAACUGAGACACGGUCCAGACUCCUACGGGAGGCAGCAGUGGGGAAUAUUGGACAAAGGGCGAAAGCCUGAUCCAGCCAUGCCGCGUGUGUGAAGAAGGUCUUCGGAUUGUAAAGCACUUUAAGUUGGGAGGAAGGGCAGUAAGUUAAUACCUUGCUGUUUUGACGUUACCAACAGAAUAAGCACCGGCUAACUUCGUG